CGACCCCAGGUCAGGCGGGACUACCCGCUGAGUUUAAGCAUAUCAAUA
rnacentral:rRNA from 1 species